rnacentral:rRNA from 1 species
AUUGAACGCUGGCGGCAUGCUUUACACAUGCAAGUCGAACGGUAACAGCACUUCGGUGGCUGACGAGUGGCGAACGGGUGAGUAAUACAUCGGAACGUGCCUAGUAGUGGGGGAUAACUACUCGAAAGAGUAGCUAAUACCGCAUGAGAUCUAAGGAUGAAAGCAGGGGACCUUCGGGCCUUGCGCUACUAGAGCGGCUGAUGGCAGAUUAGGUAGUUGGUGGGAUAAAAGCUUACCAAGCCGACGAUCUGUAGCUGGUCUGAGAGGACGACCAGCCACACUGGGACUGAGACACGGCCCAGACUACUACGGGAGGCAGCAGUGGGGAAUGUUGGACAAUGGGCGCAAGCCUGAUCCAGCAAUGCCGCGUGCAGGAUGAAGGCCUUCGGGUUGUAAACUGCUUUUGUACGGAACGAAAAGCCCUCUUCUAAUACAGGAGGGUCAUGACGGUACCGGAAGAAUAAGCACCGGCUAACUACGUG